ACCAAAUUGUCCACACUGCACCCCGAAACACCCAAGAAGCUCCUUUCCACUUCUGGAUAGAAUGUGCACAAUAUGCUCCCUAUCGAAGCUGAUUAGGCACAAAGAUAGGCAUAGACAUCUCAACGAUUACGAACCUGAAGACUAUAUUGGCCACAACACACUGAAAAAACUAGCAAAUAUAUACAAGCCUUUAAACAACAUAUUCAAGCUACACAUCGAUUGUGAAUUCAAACAUAACAUAUUGGAGGAUAAAGCGGUGUCUAUACCUUCCAUGUAAACAGAGAAGAAGAAGAGAAAGUCUAAGGAAGAAAAGGUGUUUCUUCUGUUUAACAUUGCGAAUAUGUUC
rnacentral:lncRNA from 1 species